rnacentral:rRNA from 1 species
UACGUAGGCAGCAAGCGUUGUUCGGAAUUACUGGGCGUAAAGAGUGUGUAGGCGGUGCUCUAAGUUCGGUGUGAAAUCUCCCGGCUUAACUGGGAGGGUGCGCCGGAAACUGGAGUGCUCGAGCGUGGGAGAGGAAAGCGGAAUUCCUGGUGUAGCGGUGAAAUGCGUAGAUAUCAGGAGGAACACCUAUAGCGAAGGCAGCUUGCUGGGACGUUACUGACGCUAAGGCGCGAAAGCGUGGGGAGCGAACAGG